GGAAACAAGUUUUGCAACUUAUAUUAAUCCUUUUCCACUUUGCGGGUGCGAGUGCUGCCUUGUAGCGGCAUUAGCCUACUCUUUUUCGAAAUCUACAAGGGUGUCUUUAACGUGCAAGAGAUAUGGCUCUCUCUUAACACGGAUCAGCCAUUCAUCGUCCCCUUCCGACGGACUAUCAUCGUUUCCUCAAGACCAUACUCGCAGAUGGUGUCAAGGGAGAGCCGAAAAUUGAGUUCCUGAAAUUUUCAUCCCAAACGGGAA
rnacentral:lncRNA from 1 species